rnacentral:tRNA from 1 species
GGUCCUAUGGCUUAGAUGGCAAAGCGCCUGCCUAGUAAGUAGGAAAUCACGAGUUCGAGUCUCGUUGGGACCU